CCACAAGUCUGUAAAAUUAAUCCAAUAGUAUGCCGACUUCUAUCUUUUGAAAACCAAUCACGUUACGACCUCUAUCUUUUGAAAACCAAUCACGUUACGACUUCUAUCUUUUAAAAACCAAUCACGUUACGACUUCUAUCUUUUAUAAAUCAAUCACGUUGCGAUCUCUAUUUUUCCGCGUCCAAUGAAAUGGCAAGGUCUAUUUCUCAUACACCAAUCACGCACGUCCUCGCCAAUUGCAUGUAAUCUCCGCUCAGGUAACGUUAAAUUAUUUACAUUCCGCUCAUGUAUGUUAUUUAUAUCUUGAUAUGAAUGAAAUGGUUUAGGAUUUUUGUUCUUUAGGAAUAGCAAGAUUGGCCAUGUAAAUUAGCCUAUGAUUACCGCUUGAUACUACGUAACGUCAACUGUCACUGAUGUGUAAAUACUAUUACGACCGGAGCUAACGUAACUGUAAAUAUGUCGAAUUUAACCGAUUAACAAGUUUUCUCAAUGAAAAAAAAAUGCUUUUUAUUGAAUUGUAAUAAGGUUCCACAGCUUUUUCCAAAUGCGGCAUUUGAACACACAAAAUGAAUUUGGAAAAUGUUAAUGUUUUGUUUAACUUUUACACGUAUGUUAUAUGUUUGUACAUAUGUUAUGACCAGUCAAAAGAAGUGAAUGGAUAAGUUUAUACAUUCAGGUUCAUGCCCUUAUCACAUGGACACAGUUGAAAGACCACAAUAUGUUUAAUCUGAGUA